GAGUUUGAUCAUGGCUCAGAUUGAACGCUGGCGGCAGGCCUAACACAUGCAAGUCGAACGGUAACAGGAAACAGCUUGCUGUUUCGCUGACGAGUGGCGGACGGGUGAGUAAUGUCUGGGAAACUGCCUGAUGGAGGGGGAUAACUACUGGAAACGGUAGCUAAUACCGCAUAACGUCGCAAGACCAAAGAGGGGGACCUUCGGGCCUCUUGCCAUCGGAUGUGCCCAGAUGGGAUUAGCUUGUAGGUGGGGUAACGGCUCACCAAGGCGACGAUCCCUAGCUGGUCUGAGAGGAUGACCAGCCACACUGGAACUGAGACACGGUCCAGACUCCUACGGGAGGCAGCAGUGGGGAAUAUUGCACAAUGGGCGCAAGCCUGAUGCAGCCAUGCCGCGUGUAUGAAGAAGGCCUUCGGGUUGUAAAGUACUUUCAGCGGGGAGGAAGGGAGUAAAGUUAAUACCUUUGCUCAUUGACGUUACCCGCAGAAGAAGCACCGGCUAACUCCGUGCCAGCAGCCGCGGUAAUACGGAGGGUGCAAGCGUUAAUCGGAAUUACUGGGCGUAAAGCGCACGCAGGCGGUUUGUUAAGUCAGAUGUGAAAUCCCCGGGCUCAACCUGGGAACUGCAUCUGAUACUGGCAAGCUUGAGUCUCGUAGAGGGGGGUAGAAUUCCAGGUGUAGCGGUGAAAUGCGUAGAGAUCUGGAGGAAUACCGGUGGCGAAGGCGGCCCCCUGGACGAAGACUGACGCUCAGGUGCGAAAGCGUGGGGAGCAAACAGGAUUAGAUACCCUGGUAGUCCACGCCGUAAACGAUGUCGACUUGGAGGUUGUGCCCUUGAGGCGUGGCUUCCGGAGCUAACGCGUUAAGUCGACCGCCUGGGGAGUACGGCCGCAAGGUUAAAACUCAAAUGAAUUGACGGGGGCCCGCACAAGCGGUGGAGCAUGUGGUUUAAUUCGAUGCAACGCGAAGAACCUUACCUGGUCUUGACAUCCACGGAAGUUUUCAGAGAUGAGAAUGUGCCUUCGGGAACCGUGAGACAGGUGCUGCAUGGCUGUCGUCAGCUCGUGUUGUGAAAUGUUGGGUUAAGUCCCGCAACGAGCGCAACCCUUAUCCUUUGUUGCCAGCGGUCCGGCCGGGAACUCAAAGGAGACUGCCAGUGAUAAACUGGAGGAAGGUGGGGAUGACGUCAAGUCAUCAUGGCCCUUACGACCAGGGCUACACACGUGCUACAAUGGCGCAUACAAAGAGAAGCGACCUCGCGAGAGCAAGCGGACCUCAUAAAGUGCGUCGUAGUCCGGAUUGGAGUCUGCAACUCGACUCCAUGAAGUCGGAAUCGCUAGUAAUCGUGGAUCAGAAUGCCACGGUGAAUACGUUCCCGGGCCUUGUACACACCGCCCGUCACACCAUGGGAGUGGGUUGCAAAAGAAGUAGGUAGCUUAACCUUCGGGAGGGCGCUUACCACUUUGUGAUUCAUGACUGGGGUGAAGUCGUAACAAGGUAACCGUAGGGGAACCUGCGGUUGGAUCACC
rnacentral:rRNA from 1 species